UUCCUUUCUCUGUUCGCCUUGUUUUUUUUCUUUUUCUUUUUCUGUCUCAUAUAUAUAUAUUAUCUAUAUGUACAUCAAGAUAUUUACCCAACAUAUUAUCAAAUCUGCAACAGAAACACCUGUUCAGUUAGGCAGGCUCAAGAUAGCAGCUACUGAGGCUAAACAGCUAAAGUACAACACUGUUGUCCUAGGACUCUUGCAUGGAGGUUGGUCAACUAUACUUCCUUUUGAGCAUAAUAAAGAUCAAGAACUUGUCAGCAGAAUAAGGUUGCAUUGAUAUAGCUACAAUUCUCAUAGCAGUGUAAUCUGAUGUAUUUCAAUGCAAUUCACAACUAGGUUUCCUCAUGAAAGGUACGAGACCGCGAUAAAGCCGCAGGGUUGGCAUACAUCAGCGGUGACGUUCCAACCGAGUGAUUCAUGUCCUUUCCCUUGGACUGAAAUCCAUUGAACAUGCCUCCUCCAUUGAGAGAAUUGGCCUUGUCAUUAUUGAUCCCAAGCUUUGACCAUAAUGAACUCUUUGCAGCUUCACUUGGGUCAUCAAAUCUAAGUGUCUUUGGGAUCAAAACGCUGCUUUCGGUACUAUUGUGUUCAGUUUCAGGCUUUUCUUUUGGUGAGUUGACUGAGGUAAUGAUGUUUCCAUCCCUUGAGUGUUUCCCCAAAGUCGGUACAGAACUAUGAGCAGAGUCACUUUCAUUAACAGAAGCACUUCCUGGUGAGAUGCAUGGUAUAUUCCAUGGAGGUGGCAUACAACCCCAAUAUGCAGGUGGAGUUACGGGAGUAUAGAAUGCUAAUGGAUAGUUUGGUGGACAAAAGGUAGGAGGAGGCAUUGCAGAAUUCCAUGUGUAAGGCAAAAAGGGACUUGGAAUAUGUUGUAACUGAGGAGGGAAACCUUCAACUCCUUUAUCCACUAACCCAUUUGUGCUGGUGUGGCUUUUUCUCUCUGAUGAAUUUGAAGCCGUAACCGAAACUCCAAUUGAGUGAUCAUUUUCCCCACCAUACGAACUUGCAUGAUGAAAACCAUUUGACACACAAUUUUGAGUUCUUUCAGCGAUGUUCAAUACAGAAGCCAUGGUGUUGCAAAGUGGAGGAUUUGAAUCAAACGUCAAAACAGCUGCUCCAUUUCCCAAACUAUGUAUUCCAUUAGGGGAAUUAAGUUUAGCUCCCUCUGGAAUUAUCAAGUGUCGAUAAUGCGAGGUAGAUAAGUUCUUGUUCUUGCGGCGACCAGCUCCAACAGGAACAUUUCUCAUUGUUCCUCCUGCAGUCCAAUAUCUUUGACAUUUCUUACAAAAAUGACGAGGCUGGUUGACAUUGUAAUUGUUGAAGUAACAAAAUUUGGUGUCCAUGCUAUUGCAUCGCGGGCAUGGAAUUAUUUUGUCAGGUUUCUUCAAAGUUUUUUCUUCAGAAACACUAGUCUCGCUUUGUUCUACAUUUGUAGAAGAUUUCAAUAAAGAAUUCUCGGUUUCAGCUGAUGGAGUCUUAGGAGGAUUCUCAUGUACAACUGAAGAUGUUGUGAGAGCUCUUAAAUCCUCGGUAGUUUUUUGCGAGGCUUCAUCAUCUUGUGCUGUAAUUAGUUCUUUCCUUGAUGGUUCCUAAAACAAUGAAUAUGAUUAAGAUGAGAAACACUAACUUACUAU
rnacentral:lncRNA from 1 species